rnacentral:tRNA from 1 species
GGGAAUAUAGUUAACCAUAUAACGUUUAAUUUGCAUUUAAAAAGUAUCAAAAAAGAUUUUUCUCA